CUUCCUCCUCUUCGCGUCUGGCGUCCUGCUGGGUGUGAUCUACUUCAACAUCCAGGUGGUGAAGGGCCAGCGGAGGGUCAUCCGCCUGCUUCGGGAGCAGAUCGCCAACGAAGGAGAAGACAAGAUCUUCCUCAUUCAGAAGCUUCACUCCAUCUACGAGCAGCGCGAGAGACGCAGCUGAGCC